GUCCCUGCAGCGCAAUGGACAGUGCGUUGGAAUUUUAAUCCAAAGGUCGUAGGAUCGAAUCCCACCUGGGAUG